rnacentral:lncRNA from 1 species
CACCACAACCAGAUCUGUCAACCAUUUCACCAUUCUUCACCGCCAUUGUUAUCCUCUAAUCGACCAUGGCCAACGUGAUCAUGGCCUCCUCCAAAACCCUAAUCACAUCUCCCCCAACCCCUAAAUCCAAACACCAACCACUACCACAACCUCCCGUCUCCCUUCCCCUCAUCUCCACCACCACCAAACCCCUAAUCUCCCUCUCCCUCACUCCCAAAUCCCUCGCCGCCGCAGCCCUCGUAGCCGCCUCCGUCGCCGCGACUCCCUUCCCCUCCUUAGCAGUCGAGAUCGAAAAGGCCCAACUUUUCGACUUCGAUCUUACGCUUCCGAUCAUUGCCGCGGAGUUUCUUUUCCUCAUGUUCGCUCUCGACAAAGUAUACUACUCCCCCUUGGGGAAUUUUAUGGACGGCAGAGAUAAGGAAAUUAAAGAGAAGCUGAGCAGUGUGAAGGAUACUUCGAGUGAAGUGAAGCAAUUGGAGGAGCAGGCGGCGGCGAUUAUGAGGGCAGCGAGGGCGGAGAUAUCGGCGGCGUUGAACAAGAUGAAGAAGGAGACGGCGUUGGAGGUGGAUGCGAAGCUGGCGGAGGGGAGGAAGAAGGUGGAGGCGGAGUUGCAGGAGGCGUUGGCAAGUUUGGAGAAGCAAAAGGAAGAUACGAUCAAGUCGCUUGAUUCUCAGAUUGCGGCUCUUAGUCAGGAAAUUGUCAACAAGGUCCUUCCAGUUCAAUAAUUUACAUAUCAGUCCUUUAAAUUUGAAAAAGAAAAGGUCACUAGAAUCACGUAAAAUAACAGAAACUUGUUUAUAUUUUGGAUGAUUCGGACUCGGAUUAUUACAUGUGUGAUGAAGUUAUUGUUAAUUUGUGAAAUAAUAUUUUAUGAUUUUUGCUUCAAUCUAUUAAAUGUUAGAAGCAAUAGUGUUAAAACCAUUUUCCAAUUUAUAAUUAUAAGAGUCAUUCAACCUAUGUGUCUUUUUUAUUGUAAUAGUAUUUGUAUCUUUAUGAAAUCAUAAAUUUUCUUUGCUGUUACUAAAGAGCACCAACAAGACUACGAACCCUUGCAAGACACUAUUAGACACAAUAUCUCGAUUACCUUCUAAUGCUAAACCAUCUCCGAUCCAUAAAUGAAGCUUUUACAUAAAAAACUAAUCUUUUUAUUUUCUUUUUGAGGUUUGGUGUUUAAAAUGGUGGAAACCAUUAAUUUCAAUGAUGAAUUGGGAUUUAUGAUGUUAAAUGAUGUUUUGUUUACUAUGGGAUAAUCUCAAUCAAUGAAAACCGUUAAAAUCGGUUCCUAAAGUGGUCAAGAAGGUUGCUUUGAGUUGUCACAAGUUUGAUAUAUCAAACCAAGUGAUACAACAUCCAUAGAACUUGAACCCUUGGGGAAAAUAUGUCACAUGUACGACCUUUGUAAACACUUUCACAUCUUAUCACAUGGAUUUAACAUGAUAAAUAAGAUAUUAUUUGUAAUAAUGUUAAGUCCAAUGGAAGUGAGAUCCAACAUAUAUGCAUACAAUAUAACUUUUCCAAUAUGGGGUUACAAAACAUCAACACAUACAACAUGUCAAGGUUCAAUCAUAAACUUUUAAUACAUGUCAAAUAAAAUAAAAUAUGUAAUUCAUAAACUAUAUAGGUUUAGACCUAAAAUAGUUUUCAAAAUAUUUAAAAUAUGGCAUGUGUUUAUGUGUAAUAAUGCAAUGCAUGUCAAAGCAUUCAUACUUGGUGAAAUGGCCUUACCAAAUCACAUUGUUCCUUUGUACCACACCGAGAAGAACACAUUAACUCAUUAUGUACAUUCCAAUAAUGCUUACUAGCCUUACCCAACUAGGUUAUGUAAUUCAAGGGGAUAUGUCUAAUGGCAAUUUCCAACUCGAGUGCAUGUUGGAUAUAAUAUGUAAAAUACAAGAAAUUUAUGUACUGUUAAUUAUAUGUGAGACUAUGGAGGUCACACUACGAGUUACAAAAAUCUAUAAAUAAUAAUGUAUUUAGUAGAUAAAUUAUUAUUUAUCAAAUAAAAUAUUUAAGUAAACAAAUUAAAUAAAGCCAAAAUAACUAAUUAGAUAUGUUGGGUUUACUUGACUAGUUGCCUUGAAACCUUAAACAUGUUUUGAAAAGCCUAACCAAGGGACGAAAUAUGUUUAUAUGGAUUACGCUCAAUAAAUGAUCCCAUGCAUUCUCACAACUAGUCAUUGGAUUCCUCAAAUGACAACACAUACACAAAAUCAACUUUGGACAUAAACAACCCAUCAACAUUAACUUGAAGAUCUUAUGUAGGGUUGCUGUUAUAGUUAACAAUUAAUCAAUAACAUUAUGAUUUAUUUAAGUCGAAAGGAAGCUUAAAGCACCAACCAUGAAAUUUUAUAACCUAGAGGCAGACUAUUGAGGCUAGUGGUGUAACAUCUUGUUUUUGGGGCUAAGAGUUUUGGGCGUUUUGGUAAAAAUAAAAGUUUCUUUAUUUUAAAAUAAAAUAAAUAAAUAGAUGAAAGUAAAUGUUUUGUUUAAUAACCCUAAUAAACAUAUUUGCUAAGCCAAAAAUAGAUUAUGAAAGAGUUUGAGUGUCAAAAGAAAACUUUUAAGGUUUAGGGGCUAAAAGUGUCAAUUUGUAUAAACUUGCUUUUCACCCGAGAAUUUGACCAAACAAGCAUCCCCGACUAGAUUUGUAUGAGUUACGGUGGAGUAGGACCAAUUGUAGAGUAAAAGUAAGUUUUAUUAAGUUUUUUGCCAAGUUAGGUACCAAGUACGAAAGGAAUUUCAAAUGAGGGCACUACAAGAAUGUCGAUCUUAGCGGCGACAAACAUCGCUGCUAAAGGUAUUAGCGACAACAUGUCGCCGCUAAAGGGUCGCCACUGUUGAUUCGUCGCUAUUGCUCCAACCGUCGUCGUUAUUACCUUCCGUCGUCACUAUAGGUGUAUCGUCACUAAUGCACUGUCACCACUAAUUGUAUUCCUCUCUCUCUCUCUCUCUCUCUCUCUCUCUCUCUCUAGUUUUUAACAUUAAAAAUGCAGAAAAAACGAUAUAAAAAUAUAACAACUGCUAGGAAAUAAUAAUCGCAAAAAAAAAAGAUCGAAACAUUUAAAUUUAACAGUACGACAUCCCAAAGUAUUAAUCCAAACAUUAAGCAGAAGUUAUGCUUUAAAUCUAACAAAAGAUUUGUAACGACCAAAAAUUUCAACCAAAUUAAAACAUUUUAAUUCAUUCAAAAACCGUUACGACCAUACAUCUUGUUUUCAAAAUAGUUUAAACAUCAGAGUAUUUUCCCCAGAAUCAUAUUACAUAAAGCAUAAACAUGAGGAGCGGUACGAUCACGCCUUCGCCUUGCUACGAUCUCCUGAAGCACCUGAAACAAUAAACCACAACUGUAAGCCCGAAAGCUUAGUGAGUUCCCUCAAAGUACUCAUACACACAUAAUCAUAUGCAUACAACAAAGAACAACAUACUUCGGGUCCAAUCAACCUUCCAAUUGGAAUACCUCUGGCCCUCAACCAUCAGGUUGGAAUGCCUACAUAACACGAGCCCAAUCAUCCUACCAGGAUAGAAUACUCUCGGCCCAUAACCAUCGAGUUGGAAUACCCAAACACCUAUACGUACAACAAUAGCUACUAUGGGUCCAAUCAUCCCUUAGGAUGGAAUUGAUGGGUUUUGGACAUAAGAACUUUACCUAUGUGCACAUACAACCCUAUAACUUGGAUCUAGGUUUCACUAAUUGAACAUGCAACAUAUCCAAGACUUUCAUGGCUAGAUCUAAUGUAAACUAACAAUUAAAACAUAUGAAAACAGAUCCAGAAUGAUACCUUGAGUUACUUGCUUGAAAACCUUCUUCUUCUUGGAGCUUAGAGUCACAAAUGUCACUCCUCUAAUGGUUUACAAACACCAACUAGCAAGAAGAUGAUUUGAGAGAGAUGAGGAAGAGGGAAAUCGGCUCUAGGGUUACUCCAAUCACAAGGGUGUCGAUUUCCUCAACCCUAUGGGUCUAUUUAUACUGUGAGCUCCUAGGGUUUCACCCUAAAACCCUAAUUGGAUAACUUAGCCUCAAAGCAAUCCAAAUCCUUUCCUAGAUAAGGCCUUGGACGAUUUCUAGGUGAUCCAUAUCCCUAAAAUAGUCCAACCCUAUAUCCAUAAGGGUUAUCAGCUCAAAAUACAACUUUCACAUAUUUGACAGUUUAUACCCCUUUAUUCAAUUAAUCUCUUUAAGUCGUCAAAUUAAUUCCUACCCUAUAGCCAAAACAGGAGCAGCGGUUGGUGCGGGAGUUGGUGCAACAGACUUGUCCUUUAAGUUGCUCUCAACAGUCCUUAGGAGUCCUUGGAGUUUGCUUAGGGUGACCUCUUCCUUGUUCAUGUGGUAGGUCAUCCUAAAUUGGUUGUAGCAUGAAAGCAAGGAAUGAAGAACAAUGUCGAUGGCCAAAUCCUCCCCAAAGUUAACAUUUAACUUGCGAAGACGAUCAACAUAUCGUUGCAUCUUUUGCAAGUGCACAGUCAACGAUUCUCCAUUUCCCAUCUUAGCGGUGAUCAUAUUAGUAAUGAUCUCGUAGCGCUCUUGCCUCGCGCUUUGGUGGUACCUUUCCAUCAAGUCUUGAUGCAUUUCAUACGGAUACAUGUCCUCAUAGGACUUUUGGAAUUCUUGGUUCAUAGUGACUAUCAUGAUGCAAUGAACUUUCGUUGCAUCACGUUCGUGUGUCUCAAAGACAGCCAUCUCUUCGGGAGUAGCGAUUUCCGGGUUGACCUUCUCGAGCUUUUCGUCGAGGACAUACUCUUUGUCCUCGUAGCGUGCAAUGGUGCGAAUGUAUCUUAUCCAUUCGCUAAAGUUCGUACCAUCGAAGGUCACCUUUUGGCAAAGACUCAUUAACGUGAAUGAGUUAGCAGCAGCGUUGUUUGCGUUCGACAUCUACAAAUAGAAAGGACAAAGUUUGAUUAGAAUUUGGAUCCCUAAUUAAACACCCAAAAUGAAAAAUUAGGGCUAGGACCCAACAACAUUAUUUACAUAUUAGAAAAGGGAUGCCGUAAUCCAAUCAUGCAAAUAAUUUGGAGGUAAGUGAAUGAUGAUUCACUAGUUCUUCACCACGAAAACAUAACCUUAAGUUUUAUUGAGAUUUCCUAGAUUUUAGAGAUUCAUUGAACUCUUCAAUGCCAUGUUUAAAUCUCGAUAUGCCCCCUUUUGUGACUGGGAUACCGAGGAUCACAAAGCAGGUGUGAAUUACCAUGCAAAUCUACAUGGUGCCUUCAUUGUUACAAUCAUCUAUUCGAUGUGCCGGUAAACCACACACGCUCCAUCAAACUAUGAUAAACAAUGAAUCACCCUUUGCCACCUUUGCUUAGAACCAAUUAGUGUGCCGGUAAACCACACACGCUCCACUAACUUCUUAGCAAGGGUGCAAAGUGCAAUUUCAUGGGAUUGCAUCAAUUCACUUUUCCUAAAGUAACUAAGAUUGGGAAUUUUAUAAAAUAGUUUAGUUACUUUAUAGAUUCAUUAUACUUAUUAAUGAGGAGAGAGAGUUGCCCUAUCCUACCCGUUCGGCUAACUACCCUCCACCGGUCAAGCAAGCGGUGGGUGUGAGUGUACACCCAUUAAGUGCCAUUUUAUAGACAGCAACCUUAUACCCACCUUAUAGACCGGCUUCGUGAAUGAGGCCUACUAACGGUAAGACUAGCAUUUAAUUUUACCUAUAUAUUUAUUAAGCUUUUAAUAAUAUAUUAGUAUAGGGUUGAAUUUUAAACUUGUAAAACUCUAGGGGUUGAAAUUUAAAUUCUUCUAAAUUAAACUAUUAAUCACAAAAUUCAAAUUUCAAAAAACUUCGGGAUAGAAAUUGAACUUUUCAAACAAUAGGGAUCAAAUAACAAAUAAUUCAAAUUAAACAAUUAAUUUCAUAAUUAUCUAUAUUUGACCUAAUCCAAUUUUAGUCAUUAGAUAAUUACCAAAUAAUCUUAAAUAGUCCAAUAUUUAUCAUAUAAAUAAUCAAUAUUUAAAAGAUUUGAAAUUAUCUAUAUUUAUGUCAAGGAUAAUCAUUAAAUUAAGUUAAAAUUCGGAUUUUUACAUAAUAAAACGAUUUAGGUAUCAAUCCAAGACAAAACAGCAACAAAAUCCCGAAUUAUCCUCUGUCUGACGCUCGGACUCGCCGAGUCAAGCUUUGGACUCGCCGAGUAGGGCCAACUCGCCGAGUCCAAAUACUGACUCGCCGAGUUGGGUCGACAGAGGGCAAGAAAAACGAUUUUCAGCAAGCAAAACAGUUAAGCAUCAUAUUCAAUUGAAACCAAUCAUGGCUCUGAUACCACUGAUGGGUUUUGGACAUAAGAACUUUACCUAUGUGCACAUACAACCCUAUAGCUUGGAUCUAGGUUUCACUAAUUGAACAUGCAACAUAUCCAAGACUUUCAUGGCUAGAUCUAAUGUAAACUAACAAUUAAAACAUAUGAAAACAGAUCUAGAAUGAUACCUUGAGUUACUUGCUUGAAAACCUUCUUCUUCUUGGAGCUUAGAGUCACAAAUGUCACUCCUCUAAUGGUUUACAAACACCAACUAGAAAGAAGAUGAUUUGAGAGAGAUGAGGAAGAGGGAAAUUGGCUCUAGGGUUACUCCAGUCACAAGGGUGCCGAUUUCCUCAACCCUAUGGGUCUAUUUAUACUGUGAGCUCCUAGGGUUUCACCCUAAAACCCUAAUUGGAUAACUUAGCCUCAAAGCAAUCCAAAUCCUUUCCUAGAUAAGGCCUUGGACGAUUUCUAGGUGAUCCAUAUCCCUAAAAUCGUCCAACCCUAUAUCCAUAAGGGUUAUCAACUCAAAAUACAACUUUCACACAUUUGACAGUUUAUACCCCUUUAUUCAAUUAAUCUCUUUAAGUCACCAAAUUAAUUCCUAAUUGAUUUAUGACUUAUAUUAAUCAAAUAAUAUUAUUAUUCUUUUAACAUAUUAUUCCUAUAAUACAUUAAUAAUAAUAUCUCUUCUCUCUAAAUCACCCUAUCAAGUUGCUAUGGUGAAGGCAACCCAAAAGGACCAUGCAUAAUCGGGUCAAGUACUUACCAGAUAUAGUUACAGCCUUAGACACUAAUCCAACAGGAAUACCCCAGGCACCUCAACCAUCGGGUUGGAAUGCCAACUACUAUGAGUCCAAUCAUCCUACCUGGAUGGAAUACUCCUGGCCCACAACCAUCGGGUUGGAAUGCCCCACUUCCUAUACAUACAGUAACUACUACUACUACUACUGUUACUAUGGGUACAAUCAUCCCUCAGGAUGGAAUUCCCCAGGCCCCUCAACCAUCGGGUUGGAAUGCCAAACUCCUGGGAGUCCAAUCAUCCUACCGGGAUGGAAUACUCCUGGCCCACAACCAUCGGGUUGGAAUGCCAAUCUACACUAGCAGACAUGCACACAUAACAGGCAUACAUAAAACACUCUACAGAACCAACACACUAGGGCCCUAUCAUCCUACCGGGAUGGAAUACCCUCCGCUAAUGCUCAAAAUACAUAACCUGCACGUACCUCCUACCAGUGCACGUAGUGCAAGACCAACUAUCGGUCUAUAAAUAAUCACUACCCAACUACCAGGGAGCUGAUCCAAUGGAACUAGCCAUCAUACAACUAUCCAUUUCUCAAGGAUACUAAGCUAACAAAGCAUAUUCUCAUAUCACUAUCUCAUCUACCAGGAUACUACCAGACAUAUCAUCACAUAACAUAACAGGAUCUAACAACAAUUCAAAGGGCCGGCCUUGGUGCCUUAGACCCUUGAGUACAGUGAGGAAAACACACCUUGCAACUGCCGAAAUCCUGCAACUCUCUGACUGCUGACUCGCCGGGAAUCCCAACUAUCAUAUGAAAACCAUCACAUAAGAAACCGACACAACUUUCUAGACCAAGGGCCCAAAACACUCAUUAAGUCCAUCAUCCUCUUAUUGGGCCAAGACCCAAAGUCAAAUCCUCAUGCAAAGCCCAAUAUUGGCCCAAUUUACUAAAUUGGGCCCACCUCACCAAAUGGGCCUAGAUCCAAUUGUAACAUCCCGAGUUCAGGAGUGCAAGUUCAGGGUUCAAAGUGAAAAUGUGAAUGGGCAACUCAGCGAGUCCAUGGGUGGACUCGGCGAGUGGGGUCGCGAUUUUAGUCGCGUGUUAAGUGGCCAACUCGACGAGUCGGCAGCUGGACUCCGCGAGUUGGUGCUGUGUGGAGAAAACCCUAAUUUCGGGGGAUGAGCCCUAUAUAAAGGACAUUAUACCCUCUCCCCAGCCUCUUUACCCUCUCUUGAAGUCCAGAAAACCCUAAUGCGUGUUUGUGAGUGAUUUGAGAGCAUUGGAACCUUGGAGAAGAGAUUUUGGAAGGGAUCUUGGAGAGUUAAGAGGCUUGGGGCAAGGGGCUUUGCAAGGAUUCGGAUUUCUCUUCUGUUGGAGCUUUCUUUUGAGGUAUUAUUUCGUUGCUUGGGUUGUUAUUCUUCUAGAUUCAUCAUUUUGGAGUUUUUGGAAAGCAUAGCUUGUGAUAUUUUGAGUUUGGAGGUUAGAUCUGAGGUUGCUACCUCAGAUCUGGAAUGGAGAAGGUCUAGAGUGCAUUAAAUUCCUUGUUCUUGAGUGGUUGGUGAAGCCAUCUUGUCCCAAACCCUAACCCUAGAGUGUUAUAUGCUUAGAUCUCUUUGGAUUCACGUAAAGUUUGCCACUUUACGUGAUGGAUGGGUUGUAGAAGGGUAGAUCUAUGGUUUGGAUCAUCUGCAUGGCCUGGAAAGCUUCUGUAUGGAUUAAGAUCUAGGGGUACUCGGCGAGUCACAAGGGUGUACUCGGCGAGUUGCUUGAAGAUGGGCAGGAACUCGACGAGUUGGAAGAACAACUCGGCGAGUUGGUUGAAGAUAGCCUUGGACUCGGCGAGUCUGUUCUUGGACUCGGCGAGUCUGGUCGUGAGGUCCUAACCUUCUUCUGGUUGAGCCGUGAAUCGGUGAGUCAAGGGAGGACUCGGUGAGUUGAGUGCGAGGGGACUCAGAGUUGUGGGACUCGGCGAGUCUCGGGGUGACUCGGCGAGUUGAGUCGCGGAUUGGGGAAGUUCUGAGCAUGGGGACUCGACGAGUCAUCGGGUUGACUCGGCGAGUAGAGUCAGUCAGGAGGUUGACUUUGACUUUGACUUUGACCAAGGGUUGACCAGUUGACUUCCAGGGGCAUUUUGGUAAUUGUUGGCUUUUGUUUUGAGUUCAGUGUUGGUGUUGGCUAGUGGUGGAGAUCGUGUCAGUGGUCGGAGCAUCUUGGUCUUAUCUUUUCAGUCGGCAGUUGCGAGGUGAGUUAUCCUCACUAUAUCGACAGGGUCUACGGCACCAAGGCCGGCCCUUUAUCGGAUUGUGAUCCGGGUAUCGUUGUUAUGUUAUUGCUUUGCUAUGUUUGCAUCCUGGUAGUUAGGAUGGUAUAUGCUAGUGACCGGUUAGGUCGGUAUCCUGGUUAGGAUGAUGUUAUGCUAUGUGAUCUGCUAGAUCGGUUUGAUUGGAUGUGAAUUGUUAUAUGAUUGAAUGUUUAUGUGCACAUGGUUGUUGGAUUGGGGUUGGGUUGAGGCGGGUCCUGCUAUGUGUUGUAGGCCAACAUACCCAGGGCGGACCGGUUAUCCCGAAGGCCUAACAAGCGGUCCGGAUAGGCUGUAGGCCCCAAGAGGGCGGACCAGACGUGCCGAGGCUCGGAGAGUGGACCAGGCCGACUGAAGGCCCAGUGCGGGCGGACCAGUCAUACUGUAGACUCAGAGAGUGGACCAGGUGGAUUGAAGGCCCGGUGCGGGCGGACCAAUCACACUGUAGACUCGAUGUAUGUGGUUAGACUCGGAGGGUGGNAGUGCAGCGGACCAGUCACACAGUAGACCCGAAGUGCAUGGUUGUUCUGUGUUCUGUUACGAUAUGGCAUGUUGUGCGUCUAUGGUGUAUGUGGUUGGUAUUUUAGGGGUAUCUCACUACGCUUUCGGGCUUACAGUGUGGUUUAAUGUUUUUCAGGUUCUUCAGGAGACCGUGGCAAGGCAAAGGCGUGAUCGUAACGCUCCUCAUGAUUAUGUUUUAUGAUGUGGUUCUGGGAAGACUCUGAUAAUAAUUGUAUUGAAAACCUUAUUGUAAUAACUUAAUGAAACUGGGUUGUUUAUGAAAAGUUUAAAUUGGUUGAAAUUUUUAGAGCAUUACAAGUUGGUAUCAGAGCCUUGGUUUGAGUGAAUUGGAGGAGCAUUCAUGUGAAUCCAGUCUCAAAUCAAGGAGAGUUUUCAAAAGAGAAUUUAAAAUGGUUUUCAAAAUGAGUACAGGAGGAUGCGGAGGUACGAUCAGCCGGAGCCAGUAAGUAACCCCAAAGUACCAUGCAUGAUAUUUGUUUUUGAGCUAUGAUAGAACAACAUGCUAGUACUAGGCUAGGGGUCUUCAGGAUUUCAUGUUAAUGUUGCCUGAUUUAUGAUGCCUGCUAGCCCAGGGUCUCUUCCGUGUGAGAUUUCCAGUGUUCCUCUAGGAGUGAGGGUUGAGUGUUUGUUAUGUAUGCUCUUCUCUAGGGUGUUGUGGUGAUAAUUGAUAUAAAUAUGGGUAGGUGUGGAAGGUAGUAUGGGCCUGUAGUGCUGAAAGCACAGGACCCAUACGCGUAGCAAAGAUGCCACAACCUCUAGGGUUGGGUUGGGGGUUGGUUCCCGGGUUAGUGGGAAGUAUCUGAGAUCUUGUGAUGUUUUUCAGUAUGGUGGUUACGAGGCAUGCUAGGAGUAGAUCCGAGUCAGGAUCGGGAGCAGAAGAGGGCGAUCAGGGUGGGUCAGUACCGCAUGAGGUUAUUGGUCAGAUGAGCACAGGCGAGUUGGAUGCUAGGAUUCGUGAGAUCUUACAUGAUGAGGUUGUUGCGUUGUUCCAGGCCGAGUUGUCGGAACUGUUUGGGUCGGUCAGGACCUCCAUGGUUGAGUAUUUUGAUGAGCGUUAUGCGGCUCUCACAGAGACGGCUGCCGCGGCAGCUACAGCAGUUGUAGCAGCGGCAGGAGGAGGAACCGGUCACGGUUUUCAGUAUCGGGACUUCGAUAAUACGAAGCCCCCUACCUUCAAUGGCGUUUAGGAUCCAAUUGUUGCUAUGAGAUGGUUGUCAGACGUGGAGGGGUGUUUCUUCACAUGUUCAUGCCUUGCUGAUCAGAGGGUGAGGUGUGCUCUGAACCUGUUGAGGCUCGGGGCGAAGGAUUGGUGGAGAUUGACCACGGGGUCAUUUUCGGAUGCGCAGACGGCUGCGGUUUCUUGGGAUCAAUUUCGAGAGAUGUUUAGCACUCGUUAUGUUCUGCGGGUUGAGAGGGAGAGAUUGGCUCAGGAGUUCCUGGAGCUAAAGCAAGACUCGGAGUCGGUGACGGAGAUCACCAGGAUAUUCACUGAGAGGGAGAUGUUUUGCCCUGAGUUUGCUUCGGAGCAGGCUCAAAUGUCUCGAUAUCUGAGUAUGCUCAAGAGGGAUAUCAGGCAGUUUGUGUCUACACAGAGGUGAGAGACCUUGUUAGAGUUGCAGGAGGCCUCCAGGCGGCAUGAGUUGGAGAUUGAGUUGCAGUUGAGAGAGCAGAGGCAGGCCCCGGCACAGUCGCAGCCGGCGCCGAAACGGUCCAAGACCGUUGAUUCUAGAUUGAGAGAUCAGAGCAGCCGCACUUGUGGGAAGUGUAGGAAGUGUAGGAAGGGUCACACCGGAGUUUGUAGGUCCGGUGGUGCAUGCCGCAAGUGUGGGAGAGAGGGGAACUAUGCGCGGGAUUGUCGGCAGACAGCCCCGGUUCGGGAUUUGAGGAUUUGUUAUCACUGUCAUCAUGUUGGACACUUGAGGGUCAACUGUCCACAGCUUGCUGCAGGACCGGUGCAGGCUCCAGCACCGGCCACUUUGAGGAUUACGGGUGGAGGUCAGGGUGGAGCGGAGCCCCCAAGGGCUCAGGGUCGUGCUUUUCAGCUUACAGCAGAGGAGGUCAGCGCAGUGCCAGAUGCAGUUGCGGGUAUGUUUCUUUCUUGAUAUCUUGUUAUCUUGAGAUUAUUAUGGAGUAUUGUUUAUUCUGCUAGUCUCGUUGUGUGAUUUUUGGUAUGGUUAAGGGUUUUGGUAUUGGGAAUUUCGUUGGUUAUCAUUCAUGAGGAUUAUUAGUGGGAAAUCCGUCUUUUGGUCUGAAUGUCGGGUAACACUGCAAUCUGAGGAGUGGUUUGCUGAAUGUCGGGUUUCUUUCGAUGCCCGAGACGAUCUGUGUUGAUAUGUAAUUUUGUGAAGGUUGCUCGUUCUAGUAGGAAUCAGUUCACGUGUAAGGGAUUGUGUUGUGUAGGGCUGUUAAGGGAGGUCAGUGAUGGCGACCGGUGGUUGAUAGUCAGUGCUCUAAGUAGGGAGAAUUGGAAAUUCUCCGGAAGAUCGAUAAGCAGGAGAGGUUGUUAGCUGUCAGGAUUCAACAGUUGUUCUGUCAGCCAAGAGCAUAAGCUGGUAUGAGUAAGUGACAGGCAGACGGGGCGGGAUACAGACCAAGGGUUUUGUGAGAAAGGGUGAUUGAUUGUGGAAGGCCUGGGAUCGGGCCGGGAUUGAGUAUGCAGGAUGGAGAUAGAGUUCGGAACCCCUAGAGGGCUAGAACAGUAUGCAUGGGAGAGUUUUCCUGGAGGGAUAACUCGGAAUGAUGAAUGCUAGUUGAGCGGUCCGGAUAGACUGAAGGCCAGUGGGCGUACCAGUCAGGCUGAAGGCUCGGAGGACGGUCCAGACAGGCUGAAGGCCCUGGAGGGCGGUCCAGACAUGCUGAAGGUUCUGAGAGUGGUCUAGAUUGGCUGAAGGCCUGGUAAGGCGGUCCAGUCAUGCUGAAGACUUUGCAUGUGUUGAUAGGUCUGUAUGAGGAUUUGGAAUGAGUAUGUCGCGAUGUGAUAGCAUCAGAAGGUCUAGCCCCGGGUAUUGAUCGUGAUUAGUGGAAGGUAGUGCAUGGACUCGAGAGUCCUUGCGAGCAGAUUCAGAGCAUGUGUGGUGCAUGAGAUAGCGGUUAUGCUAUAAGGGAAUGGUGUAGUAUUGGGCGAGCACCAUGGCACUUGUAGUAGUGUCAAGGCAGCCAAGUGGAUUUCGUUGGUAAGGAAAAAGGAAAGGAAUGUAGCUCCGAGAGGGAGUGUAACUUCUCGGAAGUGAAAGCAGUAGUGCGGAGGUAUGAUUGGAGUGUUCCAAUUAUGGUUAUUGAGCAGUGUGUUGCGGCGGUGGUAUGGAAUCACAUCCGGGUUGGAUGUCUGCUGAGGUCUCGGAAGGGAUUCCGAGGGUGUAGAGCCAAGAGGCUCGGAAGGGAUGCAGGGAUGGAGUCUUGGAUUCCUAGUUUGAUUUGGCCAAGGAAUUAUGUAUGUGGUGGAAAUUCAUCCUGGGGGAUGUUUGGAGGUGUCGUCAGUGUAUCGGGUUUUCCCAACCCGAGGAUGCUAGAGCCAGUUCAGCAUGGGUAUGAGAUUGUGGAGGAGAACUCAUGGGAGUUGCUCUGAGGCUGAAGGAUGUGUCAUCCUGUCAGCAUGGAGUGGAUAAAGUUGGACUCAGAUCGGGAUCCCGGUGGUUCAGGGUUAUUUCUAGCUCGUAUGAGUCAAGUGAUUGUUGUGAUUUGGAGCGAGUGAAGUAUCAUGGAGUGGUACUCGGUUGAUAAGUGUGGUUAUCAGAGGAUGAGGCCGGUGGCCGGCUUGAAGCGGUGGUCAGGACACCGCAAGGGGAAAGUUGGGUUAUGGGUUUCGGUGGUUGUGUUUUGAGGAACCUGGUCUGGUUAAUGUCAGGUGGUGCAUUGCGAGAGUAGUUCUGGAGAUGUGUUGCUGCAGGCUUUGAGGACGAAGCCUAAUUUAAGUGGGGGAGAAUUGUAACAUCCCGAGUUCAGGAGUGUAAGUUCAGGGUUCAAAGUGAAAAUGUGAAUAAGCAACUCGACGAGUCCAUGGGUGGACUCGGCGAGUAGGGUCGCGAUUCUGGUCGCGUGUUAAGUGGCCAACUCGGCGAGUCGGCGGCUGGACUCGGUGAGUUGGUUAUGUGUGGAGAAAACCCUAAUUUUGGGGGAUGAGCCCUAUAUAAAGGACAUUAUACCCUCUCCCCAGCCUCUUUACCCUCUCUUGAAGUCCAGAAAACCCUAAUGCGCGUUUGUGAGUGAUUUGAGAGCAUUUGAACCUUAGAGAAGAGAUUUUUGAAAGGAUCUUGGAGAGUUAAGAGGCUUGGGGCAAGGGGCUUUGCAAGGAUUCAGAUUUCUCUUCUGUUAGAGCUUUCUUUUGAGGUAUUAUUUCAUUGCUAGGGCUGUUAUUCUUCUAGAUUCAUCAUUUUGGAGUUUUUAGAAAGCAUAACUUGUGAUAUUUUGAGUUUGGGGUUAGAUUUGAGGUUGCUACCUCAGAUCUGGAAUGGAGAAGGUCUAGAGUGCAUUAAAGUCCCUGUUCUUGAGUGGUUGGUGAAGCCAUAUUGUACCAAACCCUAACCCUAGAGUGUUAUAUGCUUAGAUCUCUUUGGAUUCAUGUAAAGUUUGCCACUUUACGUGAUAGAUGGGUUGUAGAAGGGUAGAUCUAUGGUUUGGAUCAUCUGCAUGGCCUGGAAAACUUCUAUAUGGAUUAAGAUCUAGGGGUACUCAACGAGUCACAAGGGUGUACUCAGCAAGUUGCUUGAAGAUGGGCUGGAACUCGACGAGUUGGAAGAACAACUCGGCGAGUUAGUUGAAGAUACCCUUGGACUCGGCGAGUCUAUUCUUGGACUCGGCGAGUCUGGUCAUGAGGUCCUAACCUUCUUCUAGUUGAGCCGUGAAUCAGUGAGUCAAGGGCGGACUCGGUGAGUUGAGUGCGAGGGGACUCAGAGUUGUGGGACUCGGCGAGUCUCGGGGUGACUCGGCGAGUUGAGUCGCGGAUUGGGAAAUUCUGAGAAUGGGGACUCGACGAGUCAGCGGGUUCACUCGGCGAGUAGAGUCAGUCAGGAGGUUGACUUUGACUUUGACUUUGACCAAGGGUUGACCAGUUGACUUUCAGUGGCAUUUUGGUAAUUAUUGGCAAUUGUUUUUGAGUUCAGUGUUUUGGUGUUGGCUAGUGGUGGAGAUCGUGUCAGUGGUCGAAGCAGCUUGGUCUUAUCUCUUCAGUCAACAGUUACAGGUGAGUUAUCCUCACUAUAUCGACAGGGUCUACGGCACCAAGGUCGGCCCUUUAUCGGAUUGUGAUCCGGGUAUCGUUGUUAUGNNNNNNNNNNNNNNNNNNNNNNNNNNNNNNNNNNNNNNNNNNNNNNNNNNNNNNNNNNNNNNNNNNNNNNNNNNNNNNNNNNNNNNNNNNNNNNNNNNNNNNNNNNNNNNNNNNNNNNNNNNNNNNNNNNNNNNNNNNNNNNNNNNNNNNNNNNNNNNNNNNNNNNNNNNNNNNNNNNNNNNNNNNNNNNNNNNNNNNNNNNNNNNNNNNNNNNNNNNNNNNNNNNNNNNNNNNNNNNNNNNNNNNNNNNNNNNNNNNNNNNNNNNNNNNNNNNNNNNNNNNNNNNNNNNNCUAGAUCUAGACUACAUAAUUAACACACACUUACACACUCACUUCUACAUCUCUCAAGCACACCUCUACAAGUGGUAUGAACCCACUAUUUAUAGAGGUGUUUACAUGUCUCUCUCUCUCACUCUAAGUAACAAAUGGGUCUAAAGGCUAAAGCACCACAUGCAAGUGGGUUUUACGAAAGUCAAACAUUUACAAAGUCAUGAAUGAAUAACUUUGCACCCCAACAAUGUAUAUGGCUAGAAUCGGAGGGUGGACCAGGUGGACUGAAGGCCGGUGCGGUGGACCAGUCACACAGUAGACCCGAAGUGCAUGGCUGUUCUGUGUUCUGUUACGAUAUGGCAUGUUGUGCGUGUAUGGUAUAUGUGGUUGGUAUUUUGGGGGUAUCUCCCUAAGAUUUCGGGCUUACAGUGUGGUUUAAUGUUUUUCAGGUUCUUCAGGAGAUCGUGGCAAGGCAAAGGCGUGAUCGUACCGCUCCUCAUGAUUAUGUUUUAUGAUGUGGUUCUGGGAAGAUUCUGAUAAUAAUUGUAUUGAAAACCUUUUCGUAAUAACUUAAUGAAAUUGGGUUGUUUUUGAAAAGUUUAAAUUGGUUGAAAUUUUUAGAGCGUUACACCAAGGUCCAUAAUAAUUAUUGGGUCCAAAAUAUUCCAUCCAUAAUGUUCAGUCAUGGCCCAAGCCCCACUAGCCUAAUAACAGCCCAAUUACUUAUGGCCCAAAAUCAAAACCCAACAGAGGGAGUACGCUGGACGUACCCCUCUUGGUACGCUGGGCGUACAUCGAUGCUUACGGAUUGGAAUCGGGACACAGACUCACUACGCUGGGCGUACCUCAAUUUAAGCGGGGCGUAAUCUCGCUGAACUAAAAUCCCACAUCAGUUCUUAAUGGCUUAAGCUCUUAAGCCCAAACUUCAGAUCCAUUGACCAAAUAUGCCUAGGAUUCAUAAAGUCUCAAACUUUAUUACUUGGGACGUCCAUAAAGCUCUUAACUCAAGGUCUUAAUCCAUUAAGACCUACCUAUCUCACACAUGAGACAACCAAAGCCAUUGGGACCUCAUUUUUCUCACUCAAGACCUCUCUUAAGGUCUGAAAGGACAGCUAAGCUCAACCAACUCGCAUCACACAUCACUUUAGGGUUUUUGGGACAAGAAUGGUGUCAAAACUUCAUAACUCAUAGAUCUACACAAUAUAAUUGUCAAGCAAGAGACUUUAUACCUCAAAAGGGCUCCAGAAGAUGAUGCCUUUCCUGAUCUACGGGCUCCAGCCAUCCCACUCCUUCUUUGACAACUUCUUCUUUCUUUGUCUAGGCUCUCCUUUGCCAAACCAAGCUCUCCAAGUUCAAAUAUCCACAACAAUGGAAGAAGAACGGCUACUUAGGGUUUCUGAGGGUAAGAGGGCAGAUAUGCAGACUGGGGUUGGAACCAUAAUGUUCCUUAUAUAGUGGUUGGCCCUAAAAUUAGGGUUUCUGGACACUGGACGUACACUGGGCGUAAUUCCAGUACGUUGGGCGUACGUCGAGGGACCCCGCAUUUCAUUAACUCCAUUACGAUGGGCGUAACCCAGCCUUACGCUAGGCGUACCCACACGUGUCCCAUGCAUGCAUGGCCUUACUUUGUCAACUUUUUCCAUCAAGUGCCAUAAGUGACAAUAUCUUCAAAGUGUCAUAGCUCCUUUAUUCUAACUCUGUUUCCGACGAACUUUAUAUCCAUGAAAAGGUGGCGAGAAGCCCUACGCUUCUAGCAACACACCCUGACCCGAAACCUUCUCAAAUAAAACUCAUUGCCCAUAAAAGACCGAAACGCCCUUACUCUUUGAUCUCGGGGAACCAUAAAUAACUACUCUUAGAACGGGGCGUUACAAGCUUACAUAAAUCCAACGAGUUAUGUUUUAAAUAUAACAAAAGAUUACAUUAAGUGCAAGUUAUCGUCACUUCCCAUCAAUCCCAUCACUCCCUUCGUUCCUUCGUUCCCUAUAGUAUCAUUUCGUUACAAGUGGUCAGAUUUAGGGAUGAAAGUGGGUCCAAACCCAGACCGGAUGGACCCGGACCCGAAAAACCCGGAACCGGUUAACGGGGUUUUAUAGAACCGGAAAUCGGACCGGUAUAUAGGAACCGGUUCCAGUUCGGUUCCGGGUAUGGUUCCGGAUAAAGUGGGUCUAGAACCGGAAAACCCGGAAAUAUCAAAGUGGGUAGGUUGGAACCGGAUAAAGUGGGUUUAGAACCGGAAAACCCGAAAAAAAACCAGAAUUUUUUGGUAAUUACUUAAUACUUAGUGGGUUGAACUUUGAAAAUUUUCAUAUUGAUAUCCCGACUUUGGGGGACUGUAACUUAUUGAAUACGAAACCAAAAUUAACAAAAUUAUAGUCUAAAAUCAUGUACAAACUCUAAAAUACACUCUGAAAAAACCCUCAUGUCAAUCCGAAUUUAAACGAAUGAGAUAUGUUUGUGUUAAUAUUUUCACAUAAUACAAAGUACAAAAACAAAUAGCUGAAAAGUUGAAAAUUUUCAGUUUUGAUAUCCCAACUUCGGAGGACUGUAAAUCAUUGAAUGUUAAACCAAAAAUGACAAAAUUAUAGUCUAAACUCAUGUACAAAUUGUAAAUUAGAACUUGGAAAAAACCACAUGUCAAUCCGACUUCAAACGAAUUAGAUAUGCAUGUUUUAAAACUUUAACCGAAUACAAAAAAACUAAAAAACUAAAAACUUCCAGCUUUGAUAUCUUGACUUUUGAGAACUGUAAGUCAAUGAAUAUAAAACUAAAAAUGACAAAUUUAUAGUCUAGAAUCAUGUACAAACUCUAAACUACAUGUUGGAAAAAACCGUAUGUCAAUUGGAGUUGAAAUGAAUAAGAUAUGCAUCUUUUAAAUGUUUCACAAAAACCGGUUCCGACCCUAAAAGUGGUUCCGGUUCCAAAAACCGGUUUUGGUUUUUAGAUCUGGUUUACCCGGACCCGAUGGACCCAAACCCGGAUUACCCGGAACCUGGAUAAAGCCAAUUUUUAAACCCGAAACCGGACCCGGUUUUAUAUAUUCCGGUUCUAACGGUUCCGGUUCCGGUUUGGUUUUCCGGUUCUAAAUCUCAUCCUUAGUCAGAUCAUUAUAUUGAGGAGAAAACCCCUAAGAUAGGGUGGUCGGAGCCUUAUGUCGAUCUGGCAGACCCAUAGGCUUAGAUUGUUUGUUUGUUCAUUCGGUUGAGGAAAUGUCACAAAAAACAAUUUCUUCUUAUUCAUUCGAAUUCCACUUAUGGAAUUGGCAUUUCUGGGUGUCUGGAUCACCUUAUUUGGUUUCCAAUUAUGAUUUAAUUAAGGAUGCAUCAAAACCAAACCAUUAUUGCGAUUCUCCAAACUUUGCUUUAAACGGUUUCGUUCGUUCCCACCAAUUAGGUUUUGGGGUGAAAUCAACAUGAAUGGGGAUGAAGAAUUCAUGUGUUGGAUGUUAUAAAUUUGUUAUGAUACCACAUGUUGCAUUAUAGUUCCAUAACUUAUAAAUUACUCAUAACACAUGUACAAUCGAAUCACAAUCAGAUAAAUCAUGAAGCAAUCAUCAUUCUUGAUUCACUUUGAUUGUAAUCCCUUCAGACACAAAUCAAUUAUCCCUUGUUCUUAUGUUCUUAUGGUAUUGGCGAGGGAGAAAGGGAAGAAGAAAAAACGUCGAUUAUUAACUACUUAUUAUCUCUCGAGUGACCUCCUAUUUAUAGUGAUGAAUGGUAUUAGACUAUAGCAUGUACACCCACCACACCAUGUAGUGGGUUGAGCUGACUAGUGAUAUGCAUGGGGAACACCAUACUUGGUGGUGUGUGGUGGCCCCCCCUCCCCUCCCUCCUUACAGAAGGUGAUUCCACUUUACGUGUUUCCUUUUUUACCGUUGGAAGCAAUAAAUUUUGAUAUUUUUCCUUUUUAUACAUUAUAAAUAAACAACACUCCUUCCAUUUUAUAUUACAAGUCUACAACUUAAGCACCCAAAAUCUCUAUAUUCUUUAUAUAUCAAAUUGAAAAUGUUAUCAUCAUAUUCUACUUUGUCGGAUACAUUAGAUUUACAGGAAUCGAUGUUUUUUUGUGAACGUAAUGCAAAAAAACACACGUAUUUACAAGAAAACGAAGCCAAAAGUCCAUGUUCAAAAACUAGAAAAUAUCAUUUAUAGAGAAAUCGUGUAGCUGGACAUAAUACUUUGUUGAUGAUGUCAUGUUCGCUGAAAAAUUUAGAGGUCGAUUCCUGAUGAGGAAAUAGUUAUUCCUACAAAAAGUUGAUGACAUGAAGAAUCGAUUUUCAUAUUUCAAUUGAAAUGGUUCUCUCAAAUUCAAAAUGUACAACGACAAUUUGUCAAUUAGCAUUAGACAUAGGGUGGACUCAUUGGAUGCGUAUUUGAGGACGUCAAAUCGAACGACACGAGAAUGUCUUUACAUGUUUGUUAAAUCUGUAAUUAGCCUCUUCCAUGAUCGGUAUUGCUCAAACCUACAAUUAAUGACUUCCAUCAAUUGUAUAAAACACAUGAAAACAAACAUGGGUUCCCUAGAAUGCUUGGCAGUAUUGAUUGUAUGCAUUAAGGGUGGGCAAUGUGUCCUAAUUCUUGGCAUUGUGAAUUCAUGUAAGGUGAUCAAAACCAACCAACAAUAAUUUUAGUAGUAGCGCAUCACAUGAUCUUUGGGUACGACAUGCAAUUUUUGGUUCUUCUAUGCUAACAACAAUACCAAUAUUUUAAACCAAUCAUCGAUUUUCAAUGACAUCUACAAUGGAAAAUUGUAUGAUGUGCCGUUUCAAGUGAAUGGAACAUCAUAUAAGUGUGGGUACUACUUUACUGUGAGAUAUAUCUUGAGUUAGCUAUAUUUGUGAAGUUAUUCUCAUGUCCAAACAACGAAAAACAAUUAACGUUUAAGACAGUCCUAGAAUCAGCUAGGAAGGCUGUCGAACGAGCCUUUGGUGCUCUUAAGGGAAGUUGACAGAUACUUAAAGUUCCAGCACGGGUAUACAAGCGCACAAGAAUACAUAGUGUGAUGUAUGCAUGCAUCAUAUUGCAUAUAUGGUUUUAGAAGAUGAAGGAAAGCGCUUUGUCACUACAAUAAAAAUAAAAAUCUACUAAUAUUCGAAGGAGUAGAGAUUGGUACGCCAAAGUACAUGGUGAGCAGAAAGAGAAUAUAUGACCGCAUUAGAUCAUAACCUUCGUGCUGACUUGAUGAAACACAUUUACAAAACCCAUCGAAGGGGGUGUUUGGCUUAGCUUUUUAGAAGCCAAAAGAUCUUUUAGGAAAAGAUAGAAAGCAAAAGAUGUUUGGCAAGUACACUUUAAAAGCUACUUUUGGAUUUGGAUACAAGUAAAAAAUAACUUUUUGAAAAAGUCAGGAAAACUGACUUUUUGUGACUUUUCCAAAAAGGAUUUUUGCCUCUGAAAAGCUAAGCCAAACACCCCCUAAAUCUUGUUGGAGACAAUAUUCGUGCUGGCACUCCAUGUAGCCUAACCAGGUUCAUAACAAUAAAUGGUCAUACGACCACACAUAAAUAUAAAUAUUUCAACAUUAGUUACACUUAUGAAUAAAAUAAUGACUAUAACUGGGGUCAAAAUCUCAUGAAACAAUCAAAAUUUUGGUAGAUAUGAAAUGAGGUCCACACGAGAAUUAUGUAUUUGAUGUCCCUUUUAGUAUUAUAUUUUCCCCUUUACAUUUCUAUAAACAUAGUUUUGUUUCAUGACUUUCUUCUUCGCUUCUACCAAUCAAAUUCUUUAGCCAACACCCACCAUCUUUUUGAUGAAAUCCCCCAAAGAGAAUUUCCUGUAACUUUUGUAGCUUUUGAUAGCACCCAAUCAUCUGAAUCUUUUGGUCCACUAACAUGAUUUCCAUGUCAUCAAGUUUUUGUUCGCUUAUAAUCAAAACUUACACAAUCACCCAUUUCAUAAUUUCUGUUCUUAAAUUCUCAAAAGACAAUUUUGACCACGACCCUUUACUUAUCUAAUCAUGUAUUAUACUCUCUUCAUAGGCCGGCAAUCCGUAUGAUCUAGACUCAAUUAAAAAUUUCAAGAUUAAAGUCAAGAUUCAAACAAAAGGUUCACAUCCUUAAUUCUUUUCAUAUAUUUCCCACUUGAUGUUAACUAAUAUCAUUCCCAUCAAGAAACAUGACUGAAUUAUUAAAGAAAGAAAAAAAAAAGAUGAUGAUGAUGAUGAUGGACACUUGACCUAGUAGUGUUUGUAACCCUGGACUUUUAUGGUCACACAGUUGUACCUUAUGCAUUAAAAAUUAUACUUCUCUUUACAAUAUAUAAACAUCAAGUAAAGCUUUUUCAUUGCCUAAUUAUGGGGAUUCUAAGCUUAUGUUGUUUCUUGGUUUUCUCCAUACAUAAACUUGUUGAUGCUCAAAUAACGACUGAAUCGAAUGAAGGUUUGUAUGUGUUUCAUGAUUUGACUUCAUAAUCAUAACACAAGUUUUGAUCUUUUUUUUUUUAUUUAUUGUUCUUUUUACAGUGAUUGCUAUAAAGAAAGUGAUAGAUUAUUGGGGUUUGAGCUCAAGGGUAAACUUGUCAAUUGACCCCUGCACUCGUGAUGCAUCUUGGGCUACCGAAAAUGCAAACCCACGAAUUGUUUGUGAUUGUUCUAACAACGUCUGCCACAUAACUCACUUGUCAGUUCUUUCAUUUUUUUUUUUUUUUAAUAUUUAUGUUUUAAAAUUAAAUAAAAAAUUAAUGCUGCAAGUUGUAAAGAAAAUGAAAGUUUACAUUAAAUUCAAUUAUUUUUGCAGGAAAUUAUAUGCUUUAGAUAUAUCUGGUGAACUCCCACAAGAACUUUUUCAACUUACUGAGCUUAUUGACUUGUAAGAAACCAAUAAACUUAUUUAUAAAGAAGUAUUAAAAAAAAUUGAAUUUUAAAAUUUUAGCUGAAAUGUAUUUCUUUUUAACAUAAAAUUUAUAUAAUUUAUGCUACAGGAACCUCGGACAGAAUGUAUUGAGUGGCUCUAUCCCUAAAGAAAUUGGAAGAUUAUUCAAAAUGCAAUAUUUGUUAGUAUCUUUUAAAAUUCUUUCAAACUUAUUAUAAUUGUGAAUUCAAUAAUAAUAACAUGUCAUUUUAUUAUUUAUUUAAUAUUUAAUAUUUAUUAUCAGGAGCCUUGGUAUCAAUAAUUUUAGCGGUGUCGUGCCUAUGGAGCUUGGGAAUCUCACGGAUUUGAAAUCUUUGUUAGUAUAAAAAUCUUUAAUUUAUGUUUUAAUGACAUAAAACAUUAAUUAAUUAAUCACCCUUAUUAUUUAUAAUAAUAUAUUUUUUUUCUCUCAUUCAGAAGCUUCAGUUCAAACAAUUUCAAUGGACCUUUGCCUAUUGAUUUAGGAAAGUUGAUCUCCUUAGAGCAACUGUAAGUAAGAGUCUGCUUUGUAUGAGUAAAUUGGGCUAUAUGGAUAAUGAUAUUUAUCUAGAUAAAAUGUUGUAUACAUAAGCUCUGUUUUUUUGUUUUUUUUAAAUAGAUGAAACCGUUUGAAUGAUAAAAUAACCAUUUUAUUCUUAUAUUCCAAAAAAAAAUUUGCAAUAUUCAUUGAUUUUAAUAUUAAAGGAGUCGCGAUAAAAAAGAAUAGCAAAAAAACAAAUUUUACAAUAUUAAGCCAUGUUUUUUUGGCUUAACCUAUUAAGUCAUUCUAUCAAGAUUAAGUCAAAAAAUAAUAACAAUCCUAUAACUAUCCAGAUUAGUGCUUUACCCAUUAGAAAACAUACCCUAACUUUNNNNNNNNNNNNNNNNNNNNNNNNNNNNNAUAUAUAUAUAAUUUUUCUUACAAGUUUCUUUGUUUGAUUUAUGUUAUUGUUGAAUUAGGUACAUAGACAGCAGUGGAGUGAGUGGACCAUUUCCUCAAG